UUCCGGUUGAUCCUGCCGGAGGUCACUGCUAUCAGUGUUCGACUAAGCCAUGCAAGUCAAAUGUUCUUCGUGAACAUGGCGGACUGCUCAGUAACACGUGGAUAACCUGCCCUUAGGAUUGGCAUAACACCGGGAAACUGGUGAUAAUACCGAAUAGACCAUUUAUGCUGGAAUGCUUUUUGGUUCAAAGGCUUCGGCUGCCUAAGGAUGGAUCUGCGGCCUAUCAGGUAGUAGUGGGUGUAAUGUACCUACUAGCCUACGACGGGUACGGGUUGUGAGAGCAAGAGCCCGGAGAUGGACUCUGAGACAUGAAUCCAGGCCCUACGGGGCGCAGCAGGCGCGAAAACUUUACAAUGCGGGAAACCGCGAUAAGGGGACACUGAGUGCCAGCAUAUUAUGUUGGCUGUCCACAUGUAUAAAAACCAUGUGUUAGCAAGGGCCGGGCAAGACCGGUGCCAGCCGCCGCGGUAACACCGGCGGCCCGAGUGGUGAUCACUUUUAUUGGGUCUAAAGGGUCCGUAGCCGGUUUGAUCAGUCUUCUGGGAAAUCUGACAGCUCAACUGUUAGGCUUUCAGGGGAUACUGUUAGACUUGGGACCGGGAGAGGUAAGAGGUACUACAGGGGUAGGAGUGAAAUCUUGUAAUCCCUGUGGGACCACCAGUGGCGAAGGCGUCUUACCAGAACGGGUCCGACGGUGAGGGACGAAAGCUGGGGGCACGAACCGGAUUAGAUACCCGGGUAGUCCCAGCCGUAAACGAUGUUCGCUAGGUGUCAGGGACGGUGCGACCGUUUCUGGUGCCGUAGGGAAGCCGUGAAGCGAACCACCUGGGAAGUACGGCCGCAAGGCUGAAACUUAAAGGAAUUGGCGGGGGAGCACUACAACGGGUGGAGCCUGCGGUUUAAUUGGACUCAACGCCGGU
rnacentral:rRNA from 1 species